UACGGAGGGUGCAAGCGUUAUCCGGAUUCACUGGGUUUAAAGGGUGCGUAGGUGGGUUGGUAAGUCAGUGGUGAAAUCCCCGAGCUUAACUUGGGAACUGCCAUUGAUACUAUCAGUCUUGAAUACCGUGGAGGUCGGCGGAAUAUGUCAUGUAGCGGUGAAAUGCUUAGAUAUCGGAAGGAACAUCAGUGGCGAAAGCGGCUUCCUGGACCAGCACCGACGUUCAGGCACGAAAGCGUGGGGAGCAAACAGG
rnacentral:rRNA from 1 species